rnacentral:lncRNA from 1 species
CCGCUAAUCUAACUCUAAUAUCAGUCCUUGGUCAAUGGGAUCCCUCCUUUUUCCGGGGGUGUGGCAAGCUUAUCCAGCUACACUUAAGUUAGCCUGCCCUGGAGCAGGUUAGUGCUAAUCGAUAUGUAACUAUGGUGAUUUAUCAAAAGUUGCUUCCACGAACCAAAAAGAGGGGCGUUUUUUAUCUUAGCCUGAAAAUUAGCUCGCUAAACCGUUUAGCGAGCUACGACGAAUACCCCCCUGCUCUGUCUGUAGUCAUGGAGACAGCAGAAUGCCCAGCCCUGUGUUGUUCUUCUGUCCGGAAGGUUCUAAUGAUGAGGCCUAGGGACUCAUGAGGUGAAGAUGAUGAUGAUGAUGAAGAUCAGCCACUGGCUCUUAGCGAUAGCAGUGAGAUCAUCAGACAUGUGGAUGGCGUGACACGCGUGUUUGAUCAGACAUGUUGUUGUUGACACUAGCGUGACACGCGUGUUUGAUCAGACAUGUUGUUGUUGACACUAGCGUGACACUCGUGUUUGAUCAGACAUGUUGUUGUUGACACUAGCGUGACACUCGUGUUUGAUCAGACAUGUUGUUGUUGACACUAGCGUGACACUCGUGUUUGAUCAGACAUGUUGUUGUUGACACUAGCGUGACACUCGUGUUUGAUCAGACAUGUUGUUGUUUACACUAGUGUGACAGUCCCACACACACUCCACGUCCUAACGGGGGGAGAGGCUGUCUGUGGCUGUCUGUGAUGGGCUGGCUUAAUAGGAGCUUAAAAAGCUUGAUGCAGCUAAUGCUAAUGCUAACGCUCAUGUUGGUCUGUUGGUUCCAUCCUGCAGCUAAUGCUAAUGCUAAUGCUAACGCUCAUGAUGGUCUGUUGGUUCCACUCUUCAGCUAAUGCUAAUGCUAAUGCUCAUGUUGGUCUGUUGGUUCCACCCUGCAGCUAAUGCUAAUGCUAAUGCUAACGCUCAUGUUGGUCUGUUGGUUCCACUCUGCAGUUUUCCACUUUGUCCUUCUCCUCCUUGUGUCUUUAUGUUUACGGCUGCCAAGGUUAGGCAGGUUAGAGGUGUGUGUGUGUGUGUGUGUGUGUGUGUGUGUGUGUGUGUGUGUAGAGAUACUGAGGUUUGUUCACCUCUGUUGAUUUGAGGGCCAGAGAUUAUCAUUCAUAUAUUAUAGAAUAAUAUAAUUUAUUAUAUUGCAACGACAGUACGAGCGUUCUGAUUGGCUAAUGGGUAGUCAUGCCAGCCGCGUAUUGCCCUCCUCACCGGUCUGAUACGGAUCCGUAUUGCCCUCUGACGUCAUCUUCAAAAUGAGCGAUAUUGAUAGACAUCAACAGACAUGAGGAAAUUCAGAAGCAGCGAAAAUGUGUCAUUGAAAGUGAUGAUGAAGACUAGACUACUAUAGUUUGAUUCACUUGUGUUGUUACUUUACAGUAAAUUAAUUCACACGGGCGGACACAGACACAGGCACGGGCACAGGCACACACACACACACACACUCUCUCACACACUCUGUUAAUUGAGGUGACGUUAAUUGAAGUAGGUUUCUGUAAUGGGAAUGUUUGUUACACACACAAACACACACAUACACUCACGCAUACACACACGCACACACACACACACACACUCUCUCACACACUCUGUUAAUUGAGGUGACGUUAAUUGAAGUAGGUUUCUGUAAUGGG